rnacentral:rRNA from 1 species
CCUACGGGUGGCUGCAGUGGGGAAUAUUGGACAAUGGGGGAAACACUGAACCAGCGACGCCGCGUGCAUGAAGACGUAUUUCGGUACGUAAAGCUCUAUCAGCAGGAAAGAAAAUGACGGUACCUGACUAAGAAGCCCCGUCGCACUACGUUCCAGCAGCCGCGGUAAUACGCCGGGGGCAAGCGUGAUCCGGAUUUACUGGGUGUAAAGGGAGCGUAGACGGCAGCGCAAGGCUGGAGUGAAAUGCCGGGGCCCAACCCCGGAACUGCUCUGGGAACUGUGAAGCUGGAGUGCAGGAGAGGUAAGCGGAAUUCCUGGUGUAGCGGUGAAAUGCGUAGAUAUCAGGAGGAACACCGGCGGCGAAGGCGGCUUACUGGACUGUAACUGACGUUGAGGCUCGAAGGCGUGGGGAGCAAACAGGAUUAGAUACCCGUGUAGUC